UGGUGCCAGCAGCCGCGGUAAUUCCAGCUCCAAUAGCGUAUAUUAAAGUUGUUGCAGUUAAAAAGCUCGUAGUUGGAUUUCUGUUAAUAAUUUAUAUAAAAUAUUUUGAUGAAUAUUUAUAUAAUAUUAACAUAAUUCAUAUUACUAUAUAUUUUAGUAUAUGAAAUUUUACUUUGAGAAAAUUAGAGUGCUUAAAGCAGGCAUAUGCCUUGAAUACUCCAGCAUGGAAUAAUAUUAAAGAUUUUUAUCUUUUUUAUUGGUUCUAAGAUAAGAAUAAUGAUUAAUAGGGACAGUUGGGGGCAUUUGUAUUUAACAGUCAGAGGUGAAAUUCUUAGAUUUGUUAAAGACAAACUAAUGCGAAAGCAUUUGCCAAGGAUGUUUUCAUUAAUCAAGAACGAAAGUUAGGGGAUCGAAGACGAUCAGAUACCGUCGUAGUCUUAACCAUAAACUAUGCCAACUAGAGAUUGGAGGUUGUUCCUUACUCCUUCA
rnacentral:rRNA from 1 species